rnacentral:tRNA from 1 species
GGCGGCGUAGCUCAGCGGUAGAGCGCACGACUCAUAAUCGUGAUGUCGGUGGUUCGAACCCACCCGCCGCCA